AUUGAACGCUGGCGGCAGGCCUAACACAUGCAAGUCGAACGGCAGCGGGGGGUAGCUUGCUACCCCGCCGGCGAGUGGCGGACGGGUGAGUAAUGCCUGGGGAGCUGCCCAAUCGAGGGGGUAUACCGGUUGGAAACGACUGCUAAUACCGCAUACGCCCUGAGGGGGAAAGGUGGGGAUCUUCGGACCUACCGCGAUUGGAUGCACCCAGGUGGGAUUAGCUAGUUGGUGAGGUAACGGCUCACCAAGGCGACGAUCUCUAGCUGGUCUGAGAGGACGACCAGCCACACUGGAACUGAGACACGGUCCAGACUCCUACGGGAGGCAGCAGUGGGGAAUUUUGGACAAUGGGCGAAAGCCUGAUCCAGCCAUUCCGCGUGCAGGAUGAAGGCCCUCGGGUUGUAAACUGCUUUUGUACAGAACGAAAAGGUCUCUACUAAUACUAGGGGCUCAUGACGGUACUGUAAGAAUAAGCACCGGCUAACUACGUG
rnacentral:rRNA from 1 species